AUACUCACUUCGGCAGCACAUAGACUAAAAUUGGAACGAUACAGAGAUUAGCAUGGCCCCUGCGCAAGAAUGAUAUGCAAAUUCGUGAAGCGGUCCAUAUUUUA